ensembl:lncRNA
CGCUCCUUGUUAACGGCUGAGGUCCCAGAAGACUGGAGGCUUGCCAAUGUGACUCCCGUCUACAAGAAGGGCUGCAGGGAGGAUCCAGGGAACUACAGGCCUGUUAGCCUGACCUCGGUGCCAGGGAAGAUUAUGGAGCAGAUUGUCUUGAGGGAGAUCACGCGGCACAUGCAGCCAACUCCUGAUGCCUCAGAUGAUGACUGAAUUUCAAAAGAGCACAGAAUGUUUGUAGAUGACAUCUGAACAUGGGAAAGGGAGAACCUGACUUUUCUGAAGGGUCAUUUAAAAUGGCAACACCUUCUCAAAGAAAGCAUGAGGCAGAGAGAAUAAUUUAGAGUAACUGAUGAGAAAGAAGAGUAAUCCCAGAUUUCAUAAGGAUGAGAUCUUCAGGAGAGUGGAGAAGAAGAGUAGGAGGAAUCAGAAAAGCUCCAUCUUCAAGGGAGAACACAUCACUGGAAAUGGAGAUGUGCUGUGGAAAUGAGGGGAAGUCACUGUAGAAAUAAUACAAGACUUGAUCUUUAAGAAACUGCUGUGUAUUGUUGGGUAAACUGAAGUCAGUAUUUUCUCCAUUGGAGUAUGAUUUCGUCUCUGGAUUAGUGACACCAUGUUUAGUGUACAUGUUACUAGAAGCCAGCAACUUGAGCCUGCUCUUUCUAACAUUGUUUUCAGUAGAGCAGAAUUGUACCCAAAUGCCAUCACAUUUUCCUUAUUAAGAUUCCAGGUAUAUUAUAAAUGUGAUAGUGGAAAAAUAAUUUUUUGCAUUAUACACAAAACCAUAUUGAAGAUCAUAACAUUAAAAUCAAUAACAUUUCACUAAAAUACAUAAGUGGAAUAAGCCAAUUGAUUUUUGGGUGAUCCUUUUCAGCAAGCAAAAGUAGAGAUGUAGAUUUAUUGUGUGCUCAGUUCUUUCAAUUAAUCUCACCCACCUACACAGUUUGCAGGAAAGCCUCUGAUUCACACACCUAUUAAUAUUCUCUGGCUCUUACUUUGUUCAAAUUGUUCUUUGGCUUGGAAGAACAUUUCUGACAAUUUCGUUUGUGUAUGUGUUCCUCUAAAUCUCAAUUCACAGAACUAUUUACAUACAGAAUUAUAAUUAAAUAUCAGUAAACAUCAUUUUUAUGUUAAAUAGUGAGCUAGGCAGGAGAUAGAACCAUGUGAAAGUUUCUUGGCCAAUCAAACAUUGAGAGUAAUCUAUAAUGAAUCAUAUGAAUUUUCAGAUAGAGAAGAUGGCAUACUGUCUGAAAAUCACAUAAUGAAAAGUAAAAAAGUACUCAGUAUUAAAGUAUCAUAGAACAAGUCUCAUUUAGUAAAAUUAACCUGUACCCUGGCAUUUCAUAAUACCUUUGGUAAAAUCUUUUAUUUAUCUGAAUGUCAAACUUCUUUUUUUAAUGCUCACCAUUGUGCCAGUUACUGGCAAAAUAUUUCGUGGCUUUAUAAAGAGUUUAUUGUUGUCUUCUGCUAGUGCUACAAUCUGUUCUCCGGCAAAACAUACCUUUAUGCAUUCCUUAUAGGCUGUAAAUUCCUUACGGGUAUAGGACAUACUCUAUGUAAGACAUAAUGCACAAAUUCAGACCUGUGUAAUACAGUAGAUGGAUCAUGAUAUUUGGUUCUCUAUACCUACGUGAAUAAUGUAGGUACAC